rnacentral:rRNA from 1 species
UACAGAGGGUGCAAGCGUUAAUCGGAAUUACUGGGCGUAAAGCGUGCGUAGACGGUUAUUUAAGUCGGGUGUGAAAGCCCCGGGCUCAACCUGGGAAUUGCAUUCGAGACUGAAUAGCUAGAGUAUGGUAGAGGGUGGUGGAAUUUCCUGUGUAGCGGUGAAAUGCGUAGAUAUAGGAAGGAACACCAGUGGCGAAGGCGACCACCUGGACUGAUACUGACACUGAGGUGCGAAAGCGUGGGGAGCAAACAGG